UACAGAGGGGGCAAGCGUUAUUCGGAAUUAUUGGGCGUAAAGGGCGCGUAGGCGGCUUUUCAAGUGACGGGUGAAAUCCCUCGGCUUAACCGAGGAACUGCCUGUCAGACUGGAAGGCUUGAGACCGGGAGAGGUGAGUGGAAUUCCCAGUGUAGCGGUGAAAUGCGUAGAUAUUGGGAAGAACACCUGAGGCGAAGGCGGGUUGCUGGGCCGACACUGACGCUGAGGCGCGAAAGCCAGGGGAGCAAACGGG
rnacentral:rRNA from 1 species